rnacentral:lncRNA from 1 species
CAGCUGGUACCACAGGGCUUAUCAUCCAUCUGUGUUCACAAAGAAUGAAGUGUUCUGUUGUUUAUCCCUGAUGCUGCAACACUGGAACAUUCUUCAUAGCUCUAAUCAUGCCAGAUGGUGACAGGGAAAUUGUCACAGAAACUUGGGACCACAAAUGCAUUGGUAGUUGAGGCUGGGCAACACUGGAGACCCAUUUGGAUGCUUCCAUGGGAGUGGAGUCCUGGAAGAGAGGCAAAGACCACCUUCACCGCUGGAGCAAACCAUUGACAGCAGCAUGGAAGCUCUGGCCUCUGAACAUAGGACAAGGCAUUUCCAAGCAUGUUCUGGUAGGAUGUUCACAUCAGCUGGUAUGGACUGAACGUUUGCGUCUUCCCUCCAAAUUCAUAUGUUGAAGUUCCAAUUUGUAAUGUGAUGGUAUUUGGAAGUGGGGCCUUUGGGAGGUCAUUAAACUUAGAUGAAAUCAUGAGGGUGGGGCCCCCAUGAUGGGAUUAGUGUCCUUAUAAGAAUAGGAAGAGAGACCAGAAGCUCACUCUCUCUCUGCCAUGUAAGGACACAGUGAGAAGGUGGCCAUCUAUAAGCCAGGAAGAAGUUCCUCAGUGGAGAACUGAAUUGGCAGUCACCUUGAUCCUGGGCUUCCUGGCCUCCAGAACUGUAAGAAAUGCAUUAC